rnacentral:piRNA from 1 species
UGAACACGAAUCUUAAGCUUGAUGAUGA